rnacentral:rRNA from 1 species
UGAGUAAUGUCUGGGAAACUGCCUGAUGGAGGGGGAUAACUACUGGAAACGGUAGCUAAUACCGCAUAACGUCGCAAGACCAAAGAGGGGGACCUUCGGGCCUCUUGCCAUCGGAUGUGCCCAGAUGGGAUUAGCUAGUAGGUGAGGUAACGGCUCACCUAGGCGACGAUCCCUAGCUGGUCUGAGAGGAUGACCAGCCACACUGGAACUGAGACACGGUCCAGACUCCUACGGGAGGCAGCAUG